rnacentral:rRNA from 1 species
CACCGGCGGCCCGAGUGGUGGCCACUAUUAUUGGGUCUAAAGGGUCCGUAGCCGGUUUGAUCAGUCUUCCGGGAAAUCUGACAGCUCAACUGUUAGGCUUCCGGGGGAUACUGUCAGACUUGGGACCGGGAGAGGUAAGAGGUACUACAGGGGUAGGAGUGAAAUCUUGUAAUCCUUGUGGGACCACCAGUGGCGAAGGCGUCUUACCAGAACGGGUCCGACGGUGAGGGACGAAAGCUGGGGGCACGAACCGGAUUAGAUACCCGGGUAGUCCCAGCCGUAAACGAUGCUCGCUAGGUGUCUGGGAUGGUGCGACCGUUUCAGGUGCCGCAGGGAAGCCGUGAAACGAGCCACCUGGGAAGUACGGCCGCAAGGCUGAAACUUAAAGGAAUUGGCGGGGGAGCACUACAACGGGUGGAGCCUGCGGUUU